UACGGAGGGUGCAAGCGUUAUCCGGAUUCACUGGGCUUAAAGGGUGCGUAGGUGGGCAAGUAAGUCAGUGGUGAAAUCUCCGGGCUUAACCCGGAAACUGCCAUUGAUACUAUUUGUCUUGAAUACUGUGGAGGUCAGCGGAAUAUGUCAUGUAGCGGUGAAAUGCUUAGAUAUGACAUAGAACACCAAUUGCGAAGGCAGCUGGCUACACAAAUAUUGACACUGAGGCACGAAAGCGUGGGGAGCAAACAGG
rnacentral:rRNA from 1 species